CGUACGUCUGGUAAGAAGUGUUUACCUUUUUUUAAUAAGUAAUAAGGUUGGGCAUCGUCUAAGUUCUUAGUACGAGGGAGUACGUGUGAAGUUUGUGACGAUGAACUCUGUUUAAGUCCGGCGAACUAUCGUGACGCGAAGACGAUUUUUCCAGUACCACGGUGUACCGGAUCUGCUAGAGAUGCUCUAGUGCCUUCCCCUGCCGCCCUUCCCGCUCCAAGCCAUCGACGCGUUCUGCCGCUCCUCUCUUUCGCCGGGAAAGCUGGAAGGAUCCAUGGAUCUGGGCUGAACCGUUGCAGCCGGCUUAGAUCCGGCCGGAUUCGGCCUGGGCGCAGCGCUUCAAUGCGCUUGCGUCCAGGGCUGCCUCUCGCCUCAGCUUGCAGGCCAGCUUACUGCCUCGUCGAGCUGCAGGAGUAAUCCUUGAAUAGUUGCAGCCAAAAGUGGGAGCAAUGAAAAUGGGAAGGAAGGCUGGCGUAAACGAAGCCAUCUGCUUAGCAAAAUCAAGGUGUGAUUAUAUACAUGGGCCCAGUUGGUCACUGAGAUAUUUUUUGCUCUUGACAUGAGGGAAGUAGGAGAGUCACAGAUGUUGGCAUGCAAACUGUGUUCCUCCGCAUUUUGGAAGAAUUGGCCGAACGCCAUACGGAAGAACUUCUUCCUGGUGAAGCAAACGUUAGCUUCAUCAUGGCAACAUAUAUGGAGAAACUCUCCUUAGCACUGGGCAAGAACUAUAUGCUUCAUUGCUCGGCAUGUCAUCAUUUCGACUUUCUUAAAAGGUGUGCAUCAACAAAUUCUACAAAUGACUUGUGCUUCCGUGAUCUUAUCAAGAAUGUUGUGUUUAUUUGGAGGGAUGUGCGCAAACCGAGCAAUGGGGCUAACUCUAUUUAGUUUUCUGCCCCCAAGAAGCUCAAGACUGAAUAUGGUUUUGGGUGCGGCCAAUCUUCCUUGGCGAAGCACAUUUUCAACUAUUUAAGGGGUGGUGAUGGUUAUCAUGCACCUCCCAUGUCCAACUAUUCCAAGCAUACACCUGCCAGCGUCAACGGGAUGGACUAACUGGAACAGGCAGGCAGGCCCCGAAUAAAUAAAAAAUCAAGUGGUUUAGAACAUUGCUGUUGAAGCAAUACACUUUCAAAUUUUAGGUUUUAUUUGAUUCAGUCAAUGUUCUGUGUGUCAAAUAAUGUUUGUUGUGUGUAAUUGUAUGCCAUCCUACAUAGAGAAAAAAUCAGCCUGUGUCUAACGAGUACGGAAAUAGAUCCUAUGGUGCUAAUGCACUGCUUGAUAUUAACAAGGACACAAAUUUGGUUAAAA